AACGAACGCUGGCGGCAUGCCUAACACAUGCAAGUCGAACGAGACCUUCGGGCCUAGUGGCGCACGGGUGCGUAACGCGUGGGAAUCUGCCCUUCGGUUGGGAAUAACUGAGAGAAAUUUCAGCUAAUACCUUAUAAUGUCUUCGGACCAAAGAUUUAUCGCCGGGGGAUGAGCCCGCGUAGGAUUAGGUAGUUGGUGGGGUAAUGGCCUACCAAGCCGACGAUCCUUAGCUGGUCUGAGAGGAUGAUCAGCCACACUGGGACUGAGACACGGCCCAGACUCCUACGGGAGGCAGCAGUGGGGAAUAUUGGACAAUGGGCGAAAGCCUGAUCCAGCAAUGCCGCGUGAGUGAUGAAGGCCUUAGGGUUGUAAAGCUCUUUUACCCGGGAUGAUAAUGACAGUACCGGGAGAAUAAGCUCCGGCUAACUCCGUGCCAGCCGCCGCCGUAA
rnacentral:rRNA from 1 species